rnacentral:rRNA from 1 species
UUGACCUCAAAUCAGGUAGGACUACCCGCUGAACUUAAGCAUAUCAAUAAGCGGAGGAAAAGAAACUAACAAGGAUUCCCCUAGUAACUGCGAGUGAAGCGGGAAAAGCUCAAAUUUUGAAUCUGGUGGUCCUAGUGGUCAUCCGAAUUGUAAUCUAGAGA